ACAGUACUCCCUUCGUUUCAAAAUUUUUGUUUUAAAUUUAUCUAGAUAUGAAUGUGUCUAGUCAUGCUUUAAUAUUUAGAUACAUUUAUUUCUAGACAAACAUAAGACAAUAAUUUUAAGAUGAGGGAGUACAUG
rnacentral:pre_miRNA from 2 species